CUUUGACGAUAUAAUGGAACCUGUGCUGAUUCGUGCAAUGGAAUCUUACAAAUGUCAUUAUAAGAUCAGAGUUCGAAUAUCAAGAUUGUGGAGAGCAAAAAGUACAAUACUGACAAAAAUGAUGGUCUGCAAUGCGUUUUGGUUGAUGAAAUGGGUGAUGCAGUUCAUGCAAUUGUAACUGAAUCUGAUUACCACUUGGUUCACAAAAAAUUGCAUCAAGGCAAAGUGUAUGAUAUUGAUCAUUUCUUUACACGAAAAAGCCAGGAGAGUUACAAAAUUGUUGAUCAUUAAGUGCAAGUGUACUUCAAUGCAAAGACUGUCUUUGAAGCAGUUGAAGAAAGCUUCCCACCAAUUCCACAACAUCGGUUCUAUUUUGUAGAUUUUGACCAGCUGAGGGCACGCAUUAACAACAAUACAAUUCUCUCAGUCAGUUCUACCAGUGCAUCAAGCUCCUGUCAAGGAUAAAGAGGAAUCAAAAUGUGAAAUUUAUCUACAAAACUUAAGAAGAGAAGAUCUUAGAGUCACUCUCUGGGGUAACAUUGCCAGACAGUUUGACAUACAGAGCAUUAAAAAACUGUCUCCACCAGUGCUCAUAGUGUUGACCAGUUUAAAGAUUAAGGAGCUCAUGGGCUGCUGUUGCUGUUAAUGAGAAGCUCGAUUGCUGGUAUCUCUGUCUUAACACAGUAGAAAGCACCGCAUUCUGAGACCUCGAUGAUCGAUUGGACCGGUUUCAAGUAUCGUUCGAAAGCCUUCUUUACUAUUCAUUUUGGGAAACUUUUAAACUUUUGAUUUUGUGAAAUUGAGCUCAUUUGAUCAAAUCGGAGGAUCCGAUUGAGCAAUCAGAGAUAUAUGAAAGACUCCAGUUCUAGGUGAUAGCUGAGAGAGUGAUUUAAAAUAGAAAAGAGAGCAGCAGGCGAAGGAACAGUGAUUUUGGGUGAUGUCACAUCGAUCUCCCAGUUUUGGUAGUCGAUCGAUAGACACAGAGAGAGGGUUCGAUCGAUAGACUAAAGGAGAGAGAGGUAGAGUACCAGUUUGAUCAUAGAGAUGGAAAGAGGCUUUAUCACCUGCUCGGGACAUCAACUUGAAGCUUGAACAGGUGAAGGAAAGUACUACCUUUUAGGCAAUCUGGAGCAGGAAGCAAGGUGAUAUGACAACACCAGCUUAAACUAAGCAACAGCAACAUGAGAUGAAUAUCCCUACACAUCGUUUAUCAAUAUUGUAUACCUUUAAGUUUUAGGGUUUAUCAACUUUGAUUUGAAAUUAUUGAUUCUGGGGAGAAAUUCGUGUGACAUAUCCUAAUUAUAAAGCUAAAGAAUUCAAAAGCUGUACCGACCACAAAGGCUACGGCUACGGCUACGUAAUUAUGAUAUAACAGAAAUCCCCUUUCUGUGUUCGAUGGUGAGUUGUUUAUUUGAGAGGUUUGGAUGAUACCGGUAUUGCUUUGUGUUUCUUUUUGGAUUUGGAGCUUAUUGUGAAAUUGUCUGAUAGAUAGUCUAGCACAUCCAUUGUAAUCAGCUUCUUACUUCUCAAUUUGAGAGAGAAACAUUACGGGGUAGAGAGAGAGAGAGAGAGAGAGAGAGAGAGAGAGAGAGAGACUUGCAGAAAGUAGAACCUCACUGAUUCUCCUUUUUACACAUUACGAUUCACGGCUUCACUUUUUCUUCUCUUUAUUUGUUUAAUGGGAUUUAGAUUUGUCUCCGAACUUAGCGAGAUAUAUUUUAAUGCCUGCAUCCAUGUAUUAAAGUAGUUGUAGCAGUUAUGUGGCAUUUAGGACUACUUUAUAAUGGGAUUUAAUUUUAUGUCCUGUUCUUUUCAUAUUCCUAAAUAUUUUUAUUUUUUAUUUUUUGACUUCUCUUUCUUCUUUGGCUUUUGUUUCUGAUUAGAUUCAGUUUGUCUUCAAGUUAGAUUUUAUGCACAAGGGUGUGCACGUGAUUCUCCUGCCGCUGUUCCUUUGCGUAUUGUUUGGGAUUAUUUCAGUAUUGUAUUCUUCUUCAGAUAUUUGGAACAGCGUGCUAUUGAGUUCUUCAACUGUUGGAAAUUCAGUUCUACGUGUUCUCAACUGGAAUAUCUGCCUGUUUUUGCUUAGUUGAUUGGGUGCUACUAUGUCUAGCGUGAGGGUAAUCAGACAAACCAUUUUUUUUUUUAUGCACGUCUAUUAUGUAUUUGUGAACAAUCAUACGAAGGACCAUUAGAAGUACGAGGAAAAAGCAGAUGACCCUUCAACAGGCACUGGAAUAAAGCAGCAUUGUUCAGUAUCACAACUAAUGCAGACUGACUUCAACUGAAUCAUAUCAUUCACGAGAUUUUGUUGACAGACAAGCAAUGUAAUACAUGGAUUCCACUUAUGGGACUGAAGUUGGUAGAACUUAAAAAUGGCAAUGAUGCAUUGAACCUCAGGAGAGAUCCAAGAUUUUGGUCAAUUUUUGAAGGAAGCUUUAGCUUUGUUUCAGAAGAAGUAGUUGCUAAAAUUCAGUCAUCUAAAAUUCUGAUCUCGAGUGUUUUUCUUUCUAAAUUUUGGAAUGUCCCCUGAUACUAGAUCUAUUUUAGCUCAAUCAAGGCUUCUAAUUCAUAAAACUAAAUCCCGCCGCAAAGCGCGGGCAUAAUUUCUAGUAGCAUACUAAUUAAUCAGAUGUGCAUACGAAGGGUGGAUGUUGGUUCUUAUAAGAAAUAUUUUGGCAAGUUCUGCAAACAUAUAGUAUCAGAUAUAGCCACCUUUACAAGGGAAGGUUGUUCAGGA